UACAGAGGGUGCAAGCGUUAUUCGGAAUCACUGGGCGUAAAGCGCAUGUAGGCGGUUUGAUAAGUCUGAUGUGAAAGCCCUGGGUACAACUCAGGAAGUGCAUCGGAUACUGUCAGGCUAGAGUACGGGAGGGGGGAAUGGAAUUCCAGGUGUAGAGGUGAAAUUCGUAGAUAUCUGGAGGAACAACAGUGGCGAAGGCGAUUCCCUGGACCGUUACUGACGCUGAGAUGCGAAAGCGUGGGGAGCAAACAGG
rnacentral:rRNA from 1 species